rnacentral:lncRNA from 10 species
AUAAUAAAUAUUUGGUUUUUGUGAUGCUGAAACACAGUCCCAAUUACAAGGCAACUUAGAAGUUAAAACUGAAACUGAAAUAUAAACAGCUUAACACCAGAAGGAAGCAAAACUAUAUAUGUCUUUUUGCAACAGCAGUUCCGAAAUUGUUUUUAUACACUGUAACAACAAAGGUACCAACUUCCUUAUUUCACAAAUUUAAGUUUGGUUUAUAUAUUUUAUUGACAUGGUUACUCAAUGUCCACAUCAUUCCAUCUGCAUCGUCUUCCUACAAACAGUUUUUCUUCUACUAUUCGGUUAUUUCUCCUUUUUUUGUUUCCUAUUUCAGAAUCAAAUUUAUUUUACUUGCAAAGUCAGUGGAAUAUGGUUUGGAACCAGUAGGGCCUCUAACUUAAGCCCAGAACCUGUCAAAGAGAAGUGCAGUAUCAUUGCUAAGACUUGAACAGUUUAUCUCUCAGAAUCUUCAGUUCCUUUGAAUUUCUCAGCUCUUAGUGUAAUCUGUUUUAUGUGUUUGUUGUAGACUUCCAUUAUGGAUAGAUUUCCAAAAUAAUUUGGGUAAUCAACUGGUAUUUUAGCAUUCUGGUAACUAACAUGUUUAAAAAUCUAAGGCUCUUUUUCAUGCAAAGGAGACUGAUUUUUGCUUUCAAAAGCAUAGGCAGGAAACCUUAGGUUCAAAGGUAGUAAAUAAUGAUGAGCAAAUUGCUAGUGAUGAUACAGCUGCAGCUUCCGUUGUGUAUUUGUUUGGCUCAGGUACUCUAGAAAUGAGAAUUCUUAGAAUUACAUAGCAGAAGUGAUAUGUUGCCUGGAUACCACACUACCAGAGGAAUAAAAAUGUAGUUAGAGUAAGGGGUUUUAUAUUUUACAAUGAGACAGUGUUAGUGUAAGAAGCAUUCCAAAUACGCCAGUUCUCUUAAACCCAUAGCAGACAUUUAUAUGUUAAUUCCUCAAUGUCUCAUUUCCCACCUUUUUUAGAGGAAGAAAAUACUCAGGCUAAAACUUUCACCCAAGCAUAAACUCCUGGGGACUUUACAAGAAUUUUGUUUUUUGCACUAUGUGACGACACGAUUGUGAGAAUUAAAUAUAGGAGUGAAAAACCAGAGAAAUGGGGCAAAAUCCCAGAUUAGUCUUUCCUCUUUAAGCAUCUGCUUCCCAUUUUAGAAACAUGCUUUCAUCACCACAUUCAGCAUCAAUUUUUUUCUUUCCUCUAACCUGCUCUUCUUUUAAAAAGUAUUCUGGGCCGGGUGCAGUGGCUUCCAGCACUGUGGGAGGCCAAGGGUGGGUAGGUCACUUGAGGUCAGGAGCUUGAGACAAGCCUGGCCAACAUGGAGAAACCCUGUCUCUAUCAGAACUCCAAAAAUUAGCUGGGUGUGAUGGCAGGCACCUGUAAUACCA